AAAGGUUGAAGACUGUUUUUAGUUUGAUAAUGCUUAAGAUACUGUUUUAGUAGAUAGCUGUAGGUCUCCAUCACUUAAUUUUCAUCAGUCAACCAAACAUGCACUUUUCUUCAUAAACUUGGGGAAGCAAUUUAAUUGGAAACUGUAGUUCUUAGGGAGCUGUUCUGCCUCAAUUUUCCAGCUCAAAGAAGACCCAUCCUUUCACUGACUCAUUAUAAAUACUAUGUUGUUUUUAUUUCCUGGUGCUAGUACUCCUGAAAGCUCCCUUGCUGAGGUAGGCCAGCAACAAUAAUCAGUACUUUUGAUUGGAUUUUCUCUGCAGAUAACUUCUGCUUGGAAAAAGUGCCAACGCUGUUCAAAUAACAACAUCUGUUUCCUCCUUCGUAAAGAGAGGGGAAACACAGCAUUGUGUCAGUAGUCAGGAUCAAAAUGUAAUUAGAAAAGAGGAGGAAAACACGAUUGUUCGGCAAAAAUAGAAACAAACUUCUAUGGUUGAUGAAAUAUUUGUCUUUUUUUCCCCAAAUUUCUCUUAAGGCUUAAAGGUCAGAAGGAACUGUUGCGUUUGCAGGAUAAAAUGACAACCUUCUCUCUCUGCACAAUGCUGGUCUUUAAAUAAUGACAAAUAAGCACAACUGAGGCUAAUUUACAUUCACUGUUGAAAGAAACUGGAAAUACUGCUCCAGUAUUACUAGCUGAAUUAUCUCUAUACCUAUGAAGGUAACUUUGUGAGACAGCCUAUCUUGUUUCUGAUUUGCCCCAUAGUUUUGUGACUGGAAUGUGCCAGAGACUGCAUCAUGGGUGCUUCACAGUGGCAGGGUGGUCUCUCACCUCUCAGUUGUCACUUUGGGUAAAAGUUUUGGAGCUGGUCAUAAAGAGAAUAUGUCGAAAACCCUUUGGGGAGAUCUCACUGUGCUAUGAAUUGAACCAAGCAGAGGCUUUAAGAAGCUCAUAUAUUGAGGAAGAGCCAUGAAGAACAUGCGUGCCAUAGAAAGUCACUGUGGGGACCCUUGACAUAAGUAGGUUGAAAGCUCUUUUGUGCAAGGCUGAAGACUCUCAAGGCUGGAGGGAAGGGCCCACCACGAGAAUUUGUUUCUGGGGAAAGGAAAACUGAGAGGAGAGCCUGAAGAGUUCAGCUAUUUCUCUUGCACAACCCAUUGUUAUCUGAUAUGACUGCACCCAGCAUUUGGGAAGCCUCAGAGCCAGCUCCCAAACCUGUGCUAUCUGCAUCAUCUCUGCUCUUUCCCAGUGUCAAACACUGGGAAAAAGGGUGCCAAAUGCUUCCAGCUUGAAUUUAUGGCUGGGGAGGCCCCUGCUCAGAGGUCCUUUGAGGAAUUCCCAGGCUGACAGGAGAGCUGAUGGCCUUUGACACAUUCCUUAGUUUCUUCUUUGGCAUGUGAGUAUGCUUGUGAGCGAGAGAAAGAGAUAACUGGGUUGGGGUCACUUCAUCGUUCUGCUCUUCAUCUCCUGGAAUUGGCUGCGGGCUGCUGUGAGAUGUAAGGCAUGCUGCAGCCUUGUGCAGAUACUGUAAGGGGAGUCCUGUGGGCUCGCUGAAUUCCUGGGAUAACUGCUGAGAUCUCUGCACCUCGUGCUUCAGAUCAUGCUGCCCGUCCUCAAAGAACUGGGGUGGUGUAGCUCUAUGGCCUGCCAGACCAAGGCUGUGUGAGUCUCUCAAGUUUCAGAUGGUCUCCCCCUCACUCCUUUUAUUUAGCCUUUACUUGCCCUUCUCAAGGUCUAAUUUCAUUCCACGAACAUGAUAGGACUGGAAGGACUGCACAGGAGUUUUGCUGUGCUGAGCAUGCAACAAGAACUACUGCACAGAAGUCUGUGCUUACUCUCAGUGAGACAGUAUAUACUGUGUCUCUAGCAUCCCUACAGCUUUUGCAAACCAGUCCAACAGCUUACUGUGUGAGUGCAACUUUAACUUGCGUGUUGUCACCUUGGUGUCCUGCACACCUUUUGCCUGCCCUUUGCUGCCUGCUGAAAUGUGCAUAGUGAGUUCAUUAAAGAGACCAAGCCUUCUAUGAGGCCUGUAGAGUUAUGCUGUUGAGAGUUACUUUGGAUGUUUUCUACAGGGAACAGAAAGCCCUGAGCGUAGUAGGCACAACAUUGUUAAUUUUGGUUCCCUUUAUCUGAAUUAACUUUUUUUGUUGCUGCCUUUGCUUGAUCUCGUGAAGUCCUUGCAGGAUUUCAUUUGGGGGGUUGAGAUAGAGAUGAGCUAUAGGUCCUCUGUGGCUCAAUGGAUGAACUGUCAUGCAAGCGAGAAUUACUUCUGCUUCUUUCCCUUCCCAGCAUUGUGUUCUCCCCAUGACAAGUUCAGCUUCCGCUGGCACAAGAUCCACUUACAGGCUUUGAAACUGGAUUCCCUGACUGGUGGUGACCCAUGCAACAUGCAAUGGCUGGUGCAGUAGAUUAGUUUACCACUCACCUGUUUGCACAUCAAUUGCUUUGCCACUUGGAAUGAAAAUUGAUGAUGAAUGUAUCUGAAUGAAGCAGAUUUCACUUUCGAUAAAGAAAACAGGACUGCUGACUUACGAUGACCACAAGCUGAAGUUUGCUGAGUGAUCCUUUUUAUAAGGUACUGUGAAAAGAAAAAAAAUAAUGAGAUAAGAACUUCAUGCUCCAGUGGGAUUUAACAUCAAACAAUGGCAGAACAUGAAGAGAGGAAAUAAUGCUGCCUUCUUCCAGGCUGAACAAACAGUUCUGUCUCUGCUCUGCAGCUGAAGAGUACCACUAAGAUCGCUUUAAUUAAGCUCUGUCACAAGAGGGCUACUAGGAGCCUUUAUUCUACAGCAAAGAGCACGAGUGAGGGAAGAGGCAACUGUAAAACAUGAACAACCUGCUUUGCACUCAGAAAGAAAGGGGGAAGAAAGUAGAAGAUUGCAGUCUGGUGUUCUAGUGAAAGGCUUCCAAAGGAGCUUCUUGAGAAUCUGACUGCAGCUCAUAAUUGCAAGUCCUUAGCGGGAGUACAUAAAAUGGAGUUUCAUCAAAAGAAAACGAAAUUGUGGAGUUGGAAAAGGCCAUUCAUCAAAAACUAACAAGUUCUGUAAGUGAUGACUUCCUAGCCUAAGAAAAAGUUGUGCUGAAACCCAAAAAGAAUACUUCAGCUAUUUCUUCCUGGUGUAAAUUAGGUACCUUAGAAAGGAGUAUGGAAAAGCAGCUAUUCCUUUCUCAGGCUCAUCCAUAUUGUAUCUUCUAUCUUCAGUCUAGAACACAAAAGUAAAAUAUUUAUUAUCAAUGAAAAUACACAUUAAUUAUAUCAGUAAUGAGCACCCAGCUACUGAAGUUAUAUAUUUACAGCCAUCUGUGACUGCAAUAUAAAAUAUUAGGGAGCAGAUAGAACCUGAAGUGGUAUAACUGUUCACUAAAAAAUUUUGCAUUAAGCAAAAGUGACAGAAAACAACAGCAAGGAAAGCAUUUCUGUCUACUGGUUUGGAUAUUUCCUAAGAGAAAGGGACUCCUUAGUCCCAGUACUUCUGUCUCAGGCUUUAUAUAUAUGUUAACCAAUGCAAAAUAAAGACAAAAAUCCUUGUAACAGAGGCAGAAAGGUAUGCUGAUAAAUAACAUGCCAAUUAUUUAUGUCCUUUACAGAUAAUUAAGCAUGCUAGUGUCUCUCUAGAACUGUUUGGAGAAAAAAACACUUUCAAAACUCUUAUUUUCUAAGCUCAGUUUUUUUUUCUUACCACUUCUGCUCAUUCUUCUAAAAUUUUAUCCUCCAUCUAACUUAUCUUAGAAUGACAAAGAGAAUGCAACUUUAUUCAAUUGUAUACUGCUGUGCCAGAGAUGAAUUAUAUACUCUAAAAUGGUAGUGAAGGGUGGGGAAAAAUUAUCUAGAUGACUGAUAGAUGAUGAUUGUAUUACCUUCACUGUCAUCUUCUGAUGUUCAGUCGUAACUUUUCUCUCAGAUCCUUUAUCUGCACUUGGAAAGCUACAAAAUUUAGAGAUGUAUUAGAUCUCUAAGGCAGCUUUCAAGCAGUGUAAUACCUAUACCCAAGCAGGGCAGAUUUAGCAUCUGAUAUUAAGGUGCGUGGAGUAAAAGGUUUCUGGCUGCUGGUAAAUAAUUCUGAGUGUCUGUCCAGAAGAUCCCCACUGUAUGUUUUGGAGUUGCUUUCCUGAUGCCUCUGAGAACGACUGAUGCUCGCAAAGCUAUCAGAGGAGCAACGGCUUGAAACUCCGGAGCGUUUUCUUGGUGUGCUUGACAUACUGACACUUGAGUUUGAGUUAGAUGCAUUAGAUCUAUUCCGAGAACGUUUUCUGGCACAUUCCACUGGACUGGAGCAAAGCAAGCCAAGCUCACCGUAAGGUGACAGUGCUCUUGCCAGGCAUGGUGUGUGCUCCACACAGGAGAACAGACUGUCUUUAUCUUCUACUUCCACAGGACUCUAGAAAAAAGUUAAACCAAGGUUUGAUUGCUUUGCAAGCUACCAGCUUUGUUCAAGUUGAUACCUCAGCUAUUUUUGCUACCAACUCGGAGGUAUUUAGACCUAAAAUGAAACUGGUUUCAGAGCAGCUCCAGCACUAACAAGUAACAAGUAACUAACACUUGACAGCCUGAUGGGAAAAGAUUGACGUUACCUUAUCUUAGAUCAAAACCUCAGAACAUUUUUAGAAGUCAAGAAGCUAAUAAUCAUUGAAUUGAGACAAAUGAUUUUAUCUGGGUAUGCUCUGUUGGUUUUGCCCACACAAAGUAAGGUAAAUAUAUAUUAUCCACUGUUAUCCUGACGACACUACCUAGAUUCUCUUCACGUGUGGAUUUGUUGCCUCUCUCUCCAAACCCUAUUAGAUUCAAGAUUUAUCACACAGCAGCUAUCUUUAUAAAAUAUACAUUCUGCAAGGGGCACCACUCACUGAUUUAUCUUAGAUUGAAAAGGGAACUACUGUAACGUGGUUUAAGAUACACAGUAAGGAAAUUGUAACUAGCUGCUUAUUCCCUGCGUAACCCUUUUCUUUCACCUGUGGGUGCAAGAUGCACAUCCUUGGUAGGGCUGCAAAAACUUUCCAACAAUUUAAAUUUUUGUUGUGUUAAUUCUUAUGAGAAACAGCAUGCUAAUGACAGAGACAAGAAUCCUGAGUUGGAUGGGGCCCACAAGGAUCACCGAGUCCAAUUCCUAACUACACGCAGGACUACCCAAAAAUCAAAUCCUCUGUCUGAGAGCAUCCAAAUGCUCCAUAACUUCUGGCAGCUUGGUGCUGUCUCUCCCCUGACACAGCUCCAUGCCAUUCCCUUGGGUCCUGUCACUGUCAUCAGAGAGCAGAGCUCAGCACUGCUCCCCUGCAAGGAGCUUUCAUGAGGCCUCCCCUCAGCCUGCUCUGCUCUGGGCCAAACAAACCAAGAGACCUCAGUUGCCUUCAUAGCUUUUGUCCACCAGAUACUUCACCAUCUCUGUAGUUCUACUUUAGAGUCUCUUUAAUGGUUUUAUGUCUUUCUUAUAUUGUGGAGCCCAAAACUACAGAGUGCUUGAGGUGAGGCUGCAAAAUGUGUGACAAAUCUUAAGGUUACACCAUGCAAGCCAUAUAAUAAGAGACAAAAUAACAGCUAGAAUAGAAUAACAUCUGACAAAGCCCAAUUCAAAGCCAACAACUACAAACUUAAAUUGUUUCAGUUCAUGUCUAAUCAAAUAGUCAGAUAUUGCAGAAACUGACUGUUCCUUACAGUCAGUUUGCAUAGCUACACAGCAACUGCAUCAGUAAAUUCUGCAAGAGUUAAAUGGAUGUAUACAAAUAGAGAUGUUUCAUAUGACAAUUUCUAAGGCCAAUGAGGGAACACACUUUUAACAGACCUGAAGUUCAAGUUCAGAUAGGCUAAUACAGAAAUUAACUUGCUGAUAUACCUCCCAUCUGAACAAAUAAUAGGAAUUUUGCAAGAUAAUCAAUAGCUGCUGCGAGACUUCUGAAGCCUUCUACUUUGAGGAUGUAAGUGUGCUAAGGGAAAAGUAAAGACACUUGGAAAUUUUUGUAUGUUUGUUGUAAACUCAAGACACUGUAGCCUGGUAAUAUAAAUUAUAAUAAUGUAUGAUAGAUUAACCUGUGUAAAGUUUGGUGAUCAUAAAUGCACAGAAUUUCUAUUCUACCAUCCAAUUUCUACAAUAAAGCUUCUAAGAACACCCAAAUAAUGACUGUUACUGCAAAAAUGUUGGAUUUCUGCAUAGCUGCUACUGUUAAUGCUUUGAACCUACACUAUUCCAGUUUUUACCUUUUAGAACUGCUUUGUAUUUUAA